rnacentral:SRP_RNA from 1 species
CCGUGCUAGGCGGGGACGUAGCGGCGCCCUGAAUCCGCAAUCCGCUUUAGCGGGGCUGAAUUCCCUCCCGAGGGGUGCAGGCCCCGAGUCAGCGUCCGGUUAGCGGUGCUGAUGGUUCGGUCC